GCGACCCCAGGUCAGGCGGGGCUACCCGCUGAAUUUAAGCAUAUCAAUAAGCGGAGGAAAAGAA
rnacentral:rRNA from 3 species